rnacentral:rRNA from 1 species
AGAAAUAACAAUACGGGGCUUAAUGUCUUGUAAUUGGAAUGAUGGGAAUUUAAACCUCUUCCAGAGUAUCAAUUGGAGGGCAAGUCUGGUGCCAGCAGCCGCGGUAAUUCCAGCUCCAAUAGCGUAUAUUAAAAUUGUUGCAGUUAAAAAGCUCGUAGUUGAAUUUCUGCUGCAUCGUCGCAUCUCUUGCUGAGUGCUUCGUUUCGGCUUAUUUCGGAUUGAUUUUUUCUUUCCGGAUGAUUACUUUGAGAAAAUUAGAGUGCUCAAAGCAGGCUUUUGCCUUGAAUAGUUUAGCAUGGAAUAAUAAAGUAGGACUUUGGUUCUAUUUUGUUGGUUUUAGGUACCAAAGUAAUGGUUAAUAGGAACAGUUGGGGGCAUUCGUAUUUAACUGUCAGAGG